rnacentral:lncRNA from 1 species
UCAGGCCUGUUUCCACAGUGAUUACCCCAACCCAUUUACAUCCCCACCCACAGGGUAGGAGGGUUCCUUUUUCUCCACGCCUUCCAGAGGGGAGUCUUUCCACUGCUUGUCUAUUUGAAUCUUUGAAUGUGUUGCCUGUUCCAAAAAAUGAGUAAAAGUAGAUUUUAAGUGAAAAUAAAUAACCUUGAAGAUGAACUAAAACAGGAGACCCCAGCCCUGUUCCCCUAGCAGCCCCUACCUUCUCCAUCGUGCUGAUGGAGCUCGCCACAGGAGCCCAGUGGCACUUACUGAACUUCCGCUUAGCCCAGCUUCCGCUUAGCCCCACUCUGACCCGGUCCGAGGAGCCAGAAUCGCCCUCCCUUAAUGAUUGUUCCCUCUUCCCCUCCCAGGUGUGUCGUCAGCUCCAAGGAAGAGGCCGUCAGCCUGAGACCAAGAGGGUCCGGGGGCGAGUUCCCCCCGAUAGGAGCGAAGAAAAGAACCCUAAAUACUCCAAUGGAAGACUUGACAAUGAAUAUAGAGAGUUCUCAAAAGAACUACGAAAGGGAGAGGCGGGAAUUCUCCAGCGGUUCAGUGGUCAAGACUCUGCUGUCCCAGCACAAGGAUGAGUGCAGUCCCUGGUCAGGGAACUAAGAUCCCACAAACUGCAAAGCGUGACCCAAAAAAGGAAACGAGAAAAAAAAAAAGCUGUGGAGAGAGCGAGAGUGAUGGGAUAAAGAUGUGGGUGAAGAGAAGAUGAGGGAAGAAGACAUCAACUUUGGAAGUUCUGUUCGACAUUCAUGUAGGUAAACUUGACCGGUGAAAACCUUAUUGAUAGUUAACCGAGCCUGAACAUUAGUUUUACAUAUAAACACGAGGCACUGUUCCUUGUUGCCUGUUUUAAUUUAUGCUGAAACUCCUAAGCAACAUGAUGACCAGAAUGUAAGGGAAUAUUGUUUUACUUGAGAUUUUGCCAAGUGAGGAACAUCAUUUCAAAAAUCACAGUGCCCCCAAGCAAUGCCAUUCAGGCCAUCUGAGUUGUCAGUAAAUACCUAGUCGGUUGUUGUGUUAAGGGGAACCCACAGG